AUGCUUCUCACCCUGCUGUGCUGUGCAGUCCUGUUGGGCUCUGUUCCUGCUCCCCAUGGUAAUAGGUCAUUGUGUCACACCUGGGUAGCUGUGACAUCAUUCCUGCUGUGGUUCCAUCAUGAAGGGCAGUUGCUAUUAAGACAGCUCUCCUCCAUCCCUACUGUGAUGAUGCAGGCAGGGCAGCCUCUUUGCUGUCUUUAUUGCCAGCACUGUUUAGGGUGUGAUGACAGACAGGCAGGCAGCUCCCAAGGAAAAAGAAGGUUCAGCACAUCUGGUGAACAAGCAAAGUUUUGUCGGGGCCCAGCCAUUUCCUGCAAGGCUAUGAUGUGUUUUGUCCUGUCACUGCACCGAUCUGCAAGUGACACUGAGUUAAGGUACUCAGACUGCUUUCCUGUCCUGAAUGCUGUAAAUCAGUGCCAAAAAAAUAAGGGCGUCAGGAAACUAAUGAGCAGGAGAAGUGGCAGCAUUCAUCAGAACACAUGCAGCCAGGUGAUGGCCAAAGAUAGUAUUAGGGAAAUGAUGGAAGUCUCUGUAAGGGAUUCAAAUCAGAGAAUAUCAUCAGUGGAUAGUUCAAUUUGAUAAUUAAAUUAAGAUUGCUCUAACACAGGCAUGAGUUUGGAUUUCACAGUUAAAGCACAGUUCCGUUUUACACUGAAAACAGGAAUUCGGUUUCUUUGUUGUGUUUGAAAAAUAUGGUCUCCUCCUUAAAUUGGCAGCGCUUAUCCCUCUGGGUAUGAGAAGAAUGGUCUGGUAAUUUGUUAGCCUAUGAUUUGCAAUUAAUUAGAAACUGGGUCCUUUAAGAAAUCUGUUCCAGUUGUUGCUUUGCCUGAAACAUCUCAGCAAUGAAAUAAUGCAGACCAUUAAUAUGUUCCAUGUAGUCAAAAUACAUUGAAAAUGUGCACAGACAAUAGCUGAACAAAUUAGUUUGCAAUUAAAUAUCUCCCUUUCUAAUUGCAAACAGGGGAUACUGUGACAUCAAGGAAAGCUCACCCAAUCAGGUUUCCCCUAGAGUGAAUGUACAUGUGAUAAUCUCAUUGGCUGUAAAGUUUAUAUUCAUUAAUCCCAUUGACUUGAAGAGGGCUGAACAGAUCAAGAAGACAUUAGGCAGCCAGUUCUUUUAACAUUUUAUGUUUUGAUCUGACCUGGUGUAUAUUUAAGAGGCACUGUUGAAGAACCUGAGGCAGCAGAGCUCUUAGCAGUGUUGGAGUGUUGGGGCAAAAACCAGUAGCAAGUUUGAUUCAGGCUUCAAUGGUUUGGUGCAGAUCUGGACGUAAAAUGGUAGCACAGACUCAGACCAAAAGAGACAGAAGUGAAAAAUUGAAAUGUGUUAAAAAAUAUCAAACAGAGAUUCAAGAGGCAUGUCAGAUGCAAUAACAAUAAAAAAGCAGCAGUGGGUUAGUCUGGGAGAUCA
rnacentral:lncRNA from 1 species